GACGAACGCUGGCGGCGUGCUUAACACAUGCAAGUCGAACGGGAGGAAAAGAGAAGCUUGCUUCUUUUGAAUCUAGUGGCAAACGGGUGAGUAACACGUAAACAACCUGCCUUCAGGAUGGGGACAACAGACGGAAACGACUGCUAAUACCGAAUGUGUUCCGGAGACCGCAUGAUUUCCGGAAGAAAGGAUGGCCUCUAUUUAUAAGCUAUAGCCUGAAGAGGGGUUUGCGUCUGAUUAGGCAGUUGGUGAGGUAACGGCCCACCAAACCUACGAUCAGUAGCCGGUCUGAGAGGAUGAACGGCCACACUGGAACUGAGACACGGUCCAGACUCCUACGGGAGGCAGCAGUGGGGAAUCUUCCGCAAUGGACGAAAGUCUGACGGAGCAACGCCGCGUGAGUGAUGACGGCCUCGGUGUAAGACUCUGUGAUCGGGGAC
rnacentral:rRNA from 1 species